AAUUGUGGACGGAUUUGUCAUGAUUGCAACCACGGAAAAAAAUGCUAAACCA
rnacentral:ncRNA from 1 species